UACGGGGGAGCAAGCGUUGUUCGGAUUUACUGGGCGUAAAGGGCGCGUAGGCGGCGCAACAAGUCACUUGUGAAAUCGUCCGGCUUAACCCGGAGCGGUCAAGUGAUACUGUCGUGCUAGAGGUGGCGGAAAGGGCAAUCGGAAUUCUUGGUGUAGCGGUGAAAUGCGUAGAUAUCAAGAGGAACACCUGAGGUGAAGACGGGUUGCUGGGCCGACACUGACGCUGAUAGCGCGAAAGCCAGGGAGCAAACGGG
rnacentral:rRNA from 1 species